rnacentral:rRNA from 2 species
UAAUUCCGUGCCAGCAGCCGCGGUAAUACGGAAGGUGCAAGCGUUAUCCGGUUUUAUUGGGUUUAAAGGGUGCGUAGGCGGCUUAUUAAGUCAGUAGUGAAAUCCUAGUGCUUAACGCUAGAACUGCAAUUGAUACUAUUAGGCUUGAGUUAAGAAGAGGUAAGCAGAAUUUAUGGUGUAGUAGUGAAAUGCUUAGAUAUCAUAAGGAAUACCAAUAGCGUAGGCAGCUUACUGGUCUUUAACUGACGCUGAGGCACGAAAGCGUGGGGAGCAAACAGGAUUAGAUACCCUGGUAGUCCACGCCGUAAACGAUGAUCACUCGAUAUACAUGAAACUUCGUGUGUGUCUAAG